UACGGGGGGGGCAAGCGUUGUUCGGAAUUACUGGGCGUAAAGGGCUCGUAGGUGGCCAACUAAGUCGGACGUGAAAUCCCUCGGCUUACCGGGGAACUGCAUCCGAUACUGGAUGGCUUGAGUUCGGGAGAGGGAUGCGGAAUUCCAGGUGUAGCGGUGAAAUGCGUAGAUAUCGGAAGGAACACCAGUGGCGAAAGCGGUUUCCUGGUCCAGCACCGACGUUCAGGCACGAAAGCGUGGGGAGCAAACAGG
rnacentral:rRNA from 1 species